rnacentral:rRNA from 1 species
CCUACGGGAGGCAGCAGUGGGGAAUAUUGCACAAUGGGGGAAACCCUGAUGCAGCGACGCCGCGUGAAGGAAGAAGUAUCUCGGUAUGUAAACUACUAUCAGCAGGGAAGAAAAUGUCGGUACCUGUCUAAGAAGCCCCGGCUAACUACGUGCCAGCAGCCGCGGUAAUACGGAGGGGGCAAGCGUUAUCCGGAUUUACUGGGUGUAAAGUGAGCGUAGACGGAAGAGCAAGUCUGAUGUGAAAGGCCCGGGCUCAACCCCAGGACUGCAUUGGAAACUGGUUGUCUAGAGUGCCGGAGAGGUAAGCGGAAUUCCUGGUGUAGCGGUGAAAUGCGUAGAGAUUAGGAGGAACACCAGUGGCGAAGGCGGCUUACUGGACGGUAACUGACGUUGAGGCGCGAAAGCGUGGGGAGCAAACAGGAUUAGAUACCCGUGUAGUC